rnacentral:miRNA from 1 species
CCCCCCUUCCUCUGGAAAAA